rnacentral:rRNA from 1 species
AUACGUAGGUGGCAAGCGUUGUCCGGAAUUACUGGGCGUAAAGGGUGCGCAGGCGGACAUUUAAGUGGGAUGUGAAAGACCCGGGCUUAACUUGGGCAGUGCAUUUCAAACUGGAUGUCUGGAGUGCAGGAGAGGAGAACGGAAUUCCUAGUGUAGCGGUGAAAUGCGUAGAGAUUAGGAAGAACACCAGUGGCGAAGGCGGUUCUCUGGACUGUAACUGACGCUGAGGCACGAAAGCGUGGGUAGCAAACAGGAUUAGAUACCCUGGUAGUCACGCCGUAAACGAUGAGUACUAGGUGUAGGAGGUAUCGACCCCUUCUGUGCCGCAGUAAACACAAUAAGUACUCCGCCUGGGAAGUACGAUCGCAAGAUUAAA